rnacentral:rRNA from 1 species
AAUCAACGCUGGCGGCGUGCCUAACACAUGCAAGUCGAACGAGAAAGGGGAGCAAUCCCUGAGUACAGUGGCGACCGGGUGAGUAACACGUGACUACCUACCCUUGAGUGGGGAGUAACCUCGGGAAACCGAGGCUAAUACCGCAUAAUAUCGCAAGAUCAAAGGAAGCAAUCCGCUCUUGGAGGGGGUCGCGGCUGAUUAGCUAGUUGGUAGGGUAAUGGCCUACCAAGGCGAAGANCGGUAUCCGGCCUGAGAGGGCGCACGGACACACUGGAACUGAAACACGGUCCAGACUCCUACGGGAGGCAGCAGUGGGGAAUUUUGCGCAAUGGGGGAAACCCGUGACGCAGCAACGCCGCGUGGAGGAUGAAGCUCCUUGGAGUGUAAACUCCUUUCGACCGGACGAUAAUGACGGUACCGGUGGAAGAAGCACCGGCUAACUCUGUGCCA